AAAACCUUAAAUAAUGAAAGCCCUACCUCUCUUUCAUCCUUACGACUCCUCGGUCGUGCCAGUGAAAAUAAGGAACAGUUUUAAUGU
rnacentral:sRNA from 1 species